CACAGGUUUUUUCAGUACAAACCAAGGAAACCCCCUUACGAGAACAGAUUAUGAACCGACUCUCACGUUUGCUGGAGGUAAACGUGCGACUCCUGCAUUAAGAUUCAGGACUCAUACAGAUAUUUGUUGUAGUAGCUCCUAGUGCAUAAGAUUGGCAUCUUUGCCGCAUUGAAGUUUGACUUCAUAUGCAAAGAAUAGGUUGCUUGAGUACGUAAUUACCUCGAAAUCUCAUGUGAUGUUUUCAUGUAAUUUGGAAUCGAAACUUGAAACCAUAGUGUACAUUCGAUUUUCAGUAACUGAACUUUUUGCCAUUUUAAAAAGUUAAAUGCGAUGCUGCUUUGAGUGAGCUUUGAGUAAUGAAUCACCUCGAAAUCUCAUAUGAUGCUUUAUAUAAGCUGGAUUUUGGUACUUAGAUGUGUGGAACUCAAUUUCGGUAAUUGAAAACGGCCAUUUUUUAGAAGUUAGAUGUGCCGGUACUCGAAGUAUUUGUGCAUUUUUUUUUCAGCAGCUAAUGUGAUGGAGUGAAGCUCUGAGCAGACUUCCACAAAAUGUUCCCUCUUUUUUGGUGCUUUCGAUUUUGGGUGGUGGUAGAGCUUGCACCAUGCUAGCUCCCAGUCUGCUGUAUUUGCUCGGCCACAUUUGCAAACACAAGCAAUAAUAAGACUAAUUUCAGUAAUCACAUGUUUAAAUGUAAACAAUGUUGUACAUGUAUAUAUGUAGGCAUCUUCAUUUGUAUACUAGGCAUUUUUUUAGUAGGCAAUUUGUUUCAGCCAAAACACUAAAUCACCCACCCCACAAUUUAACCACAUAGUUUCAGACUACUUUCUACGCAGGCAACUAAGUCAUUUUCUCCAUGCUAUUUUACUUUCUGUUUUCCAACUAUGAGAUUUCUAAAUCAUUUUUGCCCACUAAUAGCAGAGCAACUUCAGUUUAGUGGGAAAUUUUACCAACUAAUUUCAGGCUACUUUUUGCAAAGCAUGAAGGAAACUAGAACAUUUUUCAACCUGCAAAAUUCUUUCUCCUGAAGCAACUAUGCUCCCUUUUAGUUGGGUUCCUACAAAGUGUGCCUGCAAAGGUUUCUCUAAGCAACUUUCUUGUAUGUGUUUUUUCUAUGAAACGGGGCCCAAAAAAUGAAACAACAUCAAAAAGUGCUCAGGAUCUCUCUCUAACAUCCAGGUCCAAAAUCGGAGGGGGAGGGGGGGAUGAAUCAUCCUGGUUCAUCAUACAUCAUCCAAGGAACAACUCGACCAAUCGGACAUACAAAGUCGCCCACCACCGGGUGCUAAGUCGCCUAGCCCGCCGACAUACUCGCCUACACAUCCCCAACCCCCUUGAAAAAUCGCCUAAGCCAACCAAAACGAACUCGCCCAUCACCGGAUGCUAGGUCGCCUAACCCGCCAACCUACUCGCCUACACAUACACACACCCACCUCCCUUGAAAAAUCGCCUAAGCCGGCCAAAACGAUCUCGCCCACCACCGGGUGCUAGGUCGCCUAACCCUCCAACUCACUCACCUACACACACACUCACCCCCCUUGAAAAAAGGCCUAAGUCGGCCAAAACAAACUCGCCCACCGCCGGGUGCUAGGUCGCCAAACACGCGACAUACUCGCCUACACACACACUCACACCCCUUGAAAAACCGCCUAAGCCGGCCGACACGAACUCGCCCACCACCGGGUGCUAGGUCGCCUAACCCGCCGACCUACUCGCCUACACACCCACUCACACCCCUUGAAAAACCGCCUAAGCCGGCCGACACGAACUUGCCCACCACCGGGUGCUAGGUCGCCUAACCCGCCGACCUACUCGCCUAGACACAUCCAAACCCCUUGAGAAAUCGGCUAAGCCGGCCGAAACGAACUCGCCCACCCCUUGGUACUAGGUCGCCUAGACCCGACGACCUACUCACCUACACACACACAAUCCACCACCUUGAAAAAUCGCCUAAGCCGGCCAAAAUAAACUCGCCCACCACCGGGUGCUAGGUCGCCUAACCCGCCGACCUACUCGCCUACACACAGACCCACACCCCUCGAAAAAUCGCCCAAGCCGGCCGAAACGAACUCGCCCACCACCGGGUGCUAGGUCGCCUAGACCCGACGACCUACUCGCCUACACACACAUCCACCCCCUUGAAAAAUCGCCUAAGCCGGCCAAAAUGAAAUUGCCUACCACCGGGUUUUAGGUCGCCUAACCCGCCGACCUACUCGCCUAGACACACCCAAACCCCUUGAGAAAUCGGCUAAGCCGGCCGAAACGAACUCGCCCACCCCUUGGUACUAGGUCGCCUAGACCCGACGACCUACUCACCUACACACACAAUCCACCACCUUGAAAAAUCGCAUAAGCCGGCCAAAAUAAACUCGCCACCACCGGGUGCUAGGUCGCCUAACCCGCCGACCUACUCGCCUACACACAGACCCACACCCCUUGAAAAAUCGCCCAAGCCGGCCGAAACGGACUCGCCCAUCACCGGGUGCUAGGUCGCCUAGACCCGACGACCUACUCGCCUACACACACAUCCACCCCCUUGAAAAAUCGCCUAAGCCGGCCAAAACGAACUUGCCCACCACUGGGUUUUAGGUCGCCUAACCCGCCGACCUACUCGCCUAGACACACCCAAACCCCUUGAGAAAUCGGCUAAGCCGGUCGAAACGAACUCGCCCACCCCUUGGUACUAGGUCGCCUAGACCCGACGACCUACUCACCUACACACACAAUCCACCACCUUGAAAAAUCGCCUAAGCCGGCCAAAAUAAACUCGCCCACCACCGGGUGCUAGGUCGCCUAACCCGCCGACCUACUCGCCUACACACAGACCCACACCCCUCGAAAAAUCACCCAAGCUGGCCGAAACGAACUCACCCACCACCGGGUGCUAGGUCGCCUAGACCCGACGACCUACUUGCCUACACACACAUCCACCCCCUUGAAAAAUCGCCUAAGCCGGCCAAAACGAACUCGCCCACCACCGGGUGCUAGGUCGCCUAACCUGUCGACCUACUUGCCUACACACGGACUCACACCACUUGAAAAACCGCCUAAGACGGCCGACAUGAACUCGCCCACCACCGGGUGCUAGGCCGCCUAACCCGCUGACCUACUCGCCUACACACGGACCCACACCCCUUGAAAAAUCUGCUAAGCUGGCUGAAACGAACUCGCCCACCACCUGGGUGCUAGGUCGCCUAACCCGCCGACCUACUUGCCUACACACGGACCCACACCCCUUGAAAAAUCACCUAACCUGGCUGAAACGAACUCGCCCACCACCAGGUGCUAGGUCGCCUAACCCCGUCAAGCUACUUGCCUACACCGACACCCACACCCCUUAAGAAAUCGCCUAAAUUGGCCAAAACAAAAUCACCCAUCCCCUGGUGCUAGGUCGCCUAACGCGCCAACCUACUCGCCUACACACACCCAUACCCCUUGAGAAAUCGGCUAAGCCGGCCGAAACAAACUCGCCCACCCCUUGGUACUAGGUCGCCUAGACCCGCCGACCUACUCGUCUAUACUCACACCCACCCCCCUUGGAAAAUCGCCUAAGCCGGCCAAAACGAACUCGCCCACCACCGGGUGCUAGGUUGCCUAACCCGCCGACCUACUCGACUACACACGGACCCACACCCCUUGAAAAAUCGCCCAAGCCGGCUAAACAAACUCGCCCACCACCGGGUGCUAGGUCGCCUAACCCGCCGACCUACUCGCCUACACACGGACCCACACCCUUUGAAAAAUCGCCCAAGCCGGCUAAAACAAACUCGCCCACCACCGGGUGCUAGGUCGCCUAACCCGCCGACCUACUCGCCUACACACGGACCCACACCCCUUGAAAAAUCUGCUAAGCUAGCUGAAACGAACUCGCCCACCACCCGGGUGCUAGGUCGCCUAACCUGCCGACCUACUUGCCUACACACGGACCCACACCCCUUGAAAAAUCACCUAACCCGGCCAAAACGAAUUCGCCCACCACCAGGUGCUAGGCCGCCUAACCCGCCGAGCUACUCGCCUACACACACCCACACCCCUUGAGAAAUCGCCUAAACUGGCCAAAACAAAAUCGCCCAUCCCCCGGUGCUAGGUUGCCUAACCCGCUGACCUACUCGUCUACACUCACACCCACCCCCCUUGAAAAACAUGCCUAAGCCGACCGACACGAACUUGCCCACCAUCGAGUGCUAGGUCGCCUAACCCGCCGACCUACUCGUCUACACUCACACCCACCCCCCUUGAAAAAUCGCCUAACCAGGCGGAAACGAACUCGCGCACCACCGGGUGCUAGGUCGCCAAACUCGCCUACAUACCCACUCGGGUGCUAGGUCGCCUAACCCGCCAACCUACUCGCCUACACACACCCCUUGAAAAAUCGCCUAAGCUGGCCGAGACGAACGUGCCCGCUCCCCCCGGUGCUAGGUCGCCUAACCCAUCGUCCUAGCAACCUAAAUCACCAUAUUUUUUGGGCAAUAUUAAGUUUUUCAAUUUUUCGGUUCCGUUUUUUCAUUUUUACAGUAGUUUUUUUAUCAGUGAACUACAAUUAACAUGGAUGUACACUGAUGGAGCAGCUAAAUGCAUGUUUUUUGUUUUUUCAGGUAUGGCUGCAGCGAUGUACAAUGCUGAAAACUGGGACGGCACCUAUGUCCUGGAAGGCAAGGUGCAAGACAAUAGGCAAGAUAAUUCAAGAGCAGGAAUUUCUUCUCAAGCAUCCAGAUUCAACAUAGGGAAGAGGAGGCAACUACAUGUGAAGGCUAGCAGUAUCACACGGGAGGUACAGAGGGGUAGUCCCAGUAGUUCAAGAACUAAACAGGAAUCAAGAUUUUCUGUUUUGUUUUUGCCCAAGGAUUAGUAGGGAUAAUAGUAGUGCAGAGUACUUCUACCUUGGUGUUUUUUCUGGGAGGAAUUGCCCAGUUUGUCGAAAUUUUCUUGCCAACGUUUGCUCCACAAUAUUGCCUGAUCAGCAACAAAGAGUUGCUGGGCAAGAUCUAUGGCCUUCUUCAGGA